UAAGAUUUACGUCAUAUCCGGUACGGUGCCAUUUUAGUCGGACAAAGUGUUUGCCACUGUGUGUUUAUAAUUCUUACUAAAUACUCGAACUUGCUAUCAAAUGGAGAGUAAGGAAUGUACAGGGAUGCUCUUUGCUUUCCUUCUGGGGAUACCGUCUGUCAUGGGGGAGGAUUACUGCAUGUUUGGCCACGUGGAUGGAAAAACUAAUGCCGAAUGCAGAUUGAGCAACGGGGCUGCUGUUGGAAUUAUAGUGGCAAUCAUUGCUGUGAUCCUGAUUGCAGUGAUAAUUGUCCUCUGUAGAAUAAAAAAGGUGCACCUGGAACAUGGGCUGUUUUAAUGGCUGCGCUGAGUGUGGAUAAUGACAAACCCUUUCUACUAGCAACAAGAACCAGUUCUACCAGAUUCAGACUAUUACAUCCAGCAGAAAAUGUGUUUUAAAAUACCGUUAUAUUAUGUUUACGUAUUUGGAUGAAAAUGAUACACAGAGAAAAAAUCAAACCUGAUUUAGAUUUGGACAGUACUGUGCCUGGAUUCGUCUUGAAAUAGGAAACCAAGCAACUUUCUUUGUGCUUUAUAGCUAAGAAUUCAUGAUAGUACUUCUCCUGUCUUACAAGCACAUCACAAUCUAUUUGGGCGUUUUGGGGGUUGUUUGUUCUGUUUAUUGGUUUGUUUGUUUUGUUUUUGUUUUGUUUCUUGUGGAUGAUAACAGCAUCUAUCUGUUCCAUCUGUACUUUGUAGCUACACUUUUCCACUAGCAACGAGAACCAAUUCCAGAUUCAGACUAUUACAUCCAGCAGAAAAUGCGUUACCAAAACACCGUUGCAUGAUGUUUACGUAUUUGGACGUAUUGGGAUGAUGCACUUGCCAUGACCCAAGCAACACCAAAUCCAGAUUGUGUUUACGUUUGGACCGUCAUGCAAGCGUGAAUACUGUUCUGCCGCUGAUUUGCACAUCUUGAAUUGUAAAUCUGAGGUAAAAUAUAUGAACAUUUGUGUGUAUGUAUUUUUUAAACAAUUGUCGUGUCGCAAAAUACUUUUGUAUUUUAGGAAGAACCUACAUCACUCACUAUCCUUCAUUUUAAGGAAAACAACUCAUUUUGAAAAAGUUUUGUAGUUGUAGUUUCAUAAUAAACUGUAAAAUCUAAAA